rnacentral:rRNA from 1 species
AUUGAACGCUAGCGGGAUGCCUUACACAUGCAAGUCGAACGGCAGCACGGACUUCGGUCUGGUGGCGAGUGGCGAACGGGUGAGUAAUGUAUCGGAACGUGCCUAGUAGCGGGGGAUAACUACGCGAAAGCGUAGCUAAUACCGCAUACGCCCUACGGGGGAAAGCAGGGGAUCGCAAGACCUUGCACUAUUAGAGCGGCCGAUAUCGGAUUAGCUAGUUGGUGGGGUAACGGCUCACCAAGGCGACGAUCCGUAGCUGGUUUGAGAGGACGACCAGCCACACUGGGACUGAGACACGGCCCAGACUCCUACGGGAGGCAGCAGUGGGGAAUUUUGGACGAUGGGGGAAACCCUGAUCCAGCCAUCCCGCGUGUGCGAUGAAGGCCUUCGGGUUGUAAGGCACUUUUGGCAGGAAAGAAACGUCAUGGGUUAAUACCCCGUGAAACUGACGGUACCUGCAGAAUAAGCACCGGCUAACUACGUGCCAGCAGCCGCGGUAAUACGUAGGGUGCAAGCGUUAAUCGGAAUUACUGGGCGUAAAGCGUGCGCAGGCGGUUCGGAAAGAAAGAUGUGAAAUCCCAGAGCUUAACUUUGGAACUGCAUUUUUAACUACCGAGCUAGAGUGUGUCAGAGGGAGGUGGAAUUCCGCGUGUAGCAGUGAAAUGCGUAGAUAUGCGGAGGAACACCGAUGGCGAAGGCAGCCUCCUGGGAUAACACUGACGCUCAUGCACGAAAGCGUGGGGAGCAAACAGG